rnacentral:lncRNA from 1 species
GCCAGAGGCAUUGAUGUGCAGCAGGUUUCUUUAGUCAUCAACUAUGACCUUCCGACCAACAGAGAAAACUAUACCCGUAGAACUGUUUGAAGUGGACGGUUUGGCCGUAAGGGUGUGGCUAUUAACGUGGUGACAGAAGAAGACAAGAGGACUCUUCAAGACAUAGAGAUUUUCUACAAUACCUCCAUACCUUCACUGAGGAAAUCCCCCUCAAUGUUGCUGACCUCAUC